UACGAAGGGGGCUAGCGUUGUUCGGAUUUACUGGGCGUAAAGCGCACGUAGGCGGUUUGUUAAGUCAGAGGUGAAAUCCCGGAGCUCAACUCUGGAACUGCCUUUGAUACUGGCAAGCUAGAGUCCGGAAGAGGUAAGUGGAACUCCUAGUGUAGAGGUGGAAUUCGUAGAUAUUAGGAAGAACACCAGUGGCGAAGGCGGCUUACUGGUCCGGAACUGACGCUGAGGUGCGAAAGCGUGGGGAGCAAACAGG
rnacentral:rRNA from 1 species